rnacentral:misc_RNA from 1 species
GGUUUCUCACAGCAGACGACAGGCUAGCAAGCACGUUGCACUGUUCUCUCCGCAAUUUUCUUCUCUAAACCAGUGAAAUCGAACGCUAACAGGAUUUUAAGGUUGGUUUGCGAAUCCUUAUCUAUUGUACUAUGGAUUCAUGUUGGUGUCUUGUCGAUAUUAAUAUUUCGGUAAAAACAACGUAGUUAAUUUCCAGCCUUCGCUUAGCCGACUGUAUAUUUUCAAGAUGGCGGCGUAGUCGUAUAUAUUGCUAUCCGUAUUUAGCAGCCAUAUGCUUGUUUAUCAGGAAACCAAUGUUUGUUAGUCGAUAGAGACGGUCGGUUGAUAAGGUUGUCAUAUAGGUAUCGGACAUUUAAUGACGGGAAGUACACGGAACAAUUGUCAAAAAUUUUAGAAAUUGGUCGUUUUAAAAAAUUAAUUUACGAAAUAUUGCCUAAUAACCAACACGAGCAUGUAGGUUGAAUGACAAGGUUCAGAACGACCUACCAGAACCAAUGUGUUCUCUUUACUUUUUCUACUGCUGAUAGGGUACUUCCACUUAAUAUGGUUUUUAUCAUUAACCUUAUAUUACUUUAAAAAAUUAAGCCUAGAACCAUUUAGCGGAUAGAUUAAAUUAACCAAACUUUGAUUUAUAAAAGCGAACUCUUAUUAAUUAGCGAGUUAUUUGACACUAUAAUAUGCUUUCGUCGCUCAUUUUUCGGACCGAGUCGGGAAUUACGUUUAGACGCUUGGUGGCGCUGUGCAAUCGCAUAUUGACCGCAGACUUUCAACAUAGUCAGCUGCCGAACGGCAGCUCUUUGAGGUAGAUCGAACUAAGCUCUUCGGAACGAUUGGGCCUUAUCGGUCCGUUUUAUCUCUUAUGCUGAGUUUAUCUCAUGGCGAAACGCAAAAAAGCGAACGGCGGCGCCAAGUAUUUACGACAGAUGGAUGUUUAUGCAGGCGUCUAUUAAAAAAUGGACAGAGACGGGAAGGGGCAUCCGGUUCGGCAAAUUCAAAUCUCGAGCCUGAACGAGAGCAUUAUGUGCGCCCUCUGUGGGGGGUAUCUGAUUAACGCAACUUCAAUUACCGAGUGCCAUCAUUCUUUUUGCCGGUCGUGUAUUAUGAGAUUCGUGGAGACUAGUCGUAUUUGCCCUAUUUGCGACGUUAAAUUACACGAGACCAGGCCAUGGGAAAGUCUGAGAUUGGAUUUAACAUUGCAAAAAAUCGUCUUCCAGCUUGUGCCUGGCCUGGCAACAAGAGAAUUUCUUCAAAGGCGGAGAUUUCAACGCAUCCAAAAGAGUUGUGGAAGAGAUGAAGAGGCGGACGAAGAGGAAAUUCCUCAAAUGUCUAUCUGUUUGGAAUGUAAAGAAAAUAAUCAGACUCUCUAUGAUUACAAACGUUACUUGAAAUGCCCUGUUACAAUGACGAUUGAACAGCUAAAAAAGUUCAUAAGGAGGAAAUUCACAUUGAAUGACAAGAUAGAUAUUGACAUCUUUCACGCGUUUGAAGAACCAUUAGUCGACGCGAAUACAAUACUCGAUUGUGCGGUUAUUUUUGGAUGGACAGGGGUGGAACCUUUUCAUCUUAACUUUACGGUGGACGAAAUAGAAAAGGACACUGCACAGCCCCUUCCCCUCUCUCUUCCGGUUACGCCCAAGAACGCACGCAAAACGGCUAGUAAAAGAAAGGCAUCGCCCGAAGCCUCCCGUCGAAAAAAGAGUGAAGAAGGCGAAAAGAAAUCGAAUUGCCACUCGGAUGCUCAGCCUACUUCAAAGACACCGUCACAAUCGGUAUCGCCACCUAUUGACGAGAUGGAUGAAGAGAUGGAGAACUCAUCAAAGGAUCUUAAAAAGUCAAAAACGGAUUAUACUAUAAGAGCUAUCAUGUCCGACGAAAUUCGUCCUCAGCGAAGAGCGGCAAAACGGCUGUCAGCAGCUGAAAAAUCUAAAGAACCCUCAGGGUCAAAGGUUAAUAAAUUAGCAGAAACCUUGCGGCUGAGGGAAGAGAAAUCUUUGGCAGAAGCCACCUCAAAUUUAGAAGAGGAAAUCAAAAAAGCUCUUCCGAAUUCUGCCAGAGAAUCAUCUUUGACAGCUUCCAUUGCAAGCUCAAACAAAAAAUCCAAUCAUCCCAAAAAAAUUGUAGGCCUGUUAAAUUAUCAUCGCCAAAAACAAAAGGAAGAAAAAUUAACGUCUCAUCUCUCUAUUCCUACUGUCUCCUGUCGACCUCCCGCUAAGCAAAACUCAUUAAUUAUUAAAAUUAAAUUGCCAUCUAAAGAUGGAGAUAAACACGAUUACCGGUGUAAGCACAAAAGGAAAGACUUGACGGUAAUUAGGUCAGCUGAUUCGACCGCUGCCUCAAGUCCUGUUAGAUCACCAGCAAGGUCACCAAAGUAUGCAACAUCGCCGCCAAGUGCCCUAGUUUCAACUGAUCCAACACAGGUCUAUUCCUUCGACGCCCACAAUAAUAGCUGAUUUAUGAAAACUAAUUGUUAAGGAUUAAUAUCGAAAGAAGAUUCAUUCACUCAUUCGCUCUCAUUUCUCAUCAACUCUCAUAUGCUCUCUUCACAUUCGCUCAAUCUCUCAUUUUCUCUCCUAUUAUCUCAGCUUCUUCUCAUUCUAUGUGACACAAAUAAGGAUAUACGAACUACAAUAUUUAUUUAUACAUAUAUGUAUAUAUGUAUCCCGGUUAACAGGCCUACAUCAUGUGCUUCAUGGCGGUAAUUUGAGAUAAUUAUACAGAUAUACUUUAUCUUCAAUGGAAUGAUACGGAUAUGCUUUUAAAAUUUAACUAUAUUUUUUCGUAUGAUAUAUUUUAAUGAAAUUAAAAAAUUAGUUUGUCAGAGAGUUUUUUCCUUCUGUUCAAUUCUUUAAAUCAUGUUACGUAUGAAACAUACGAAGAACUUUUACAUUCUUUCCUGUAAAGAGAUAAGAAACAAAAGGGAUAUUCAUAAGAUAUCAUGUAUAUUUUACGUAUAUGUACACUUACUGUAUAUAAAAUAUACUCUAUGAGUGUAUAUGUAUAAGAAUACGUGAAUGUAUGAAUAUAUAUAUAUAUAUAUAUAUAUAUAUAUAUAUAUAUAUACAGUAUAUAUAUAUGUGUGUACGUGGUUUGUCCCGGAAGAAAAAAGGUGUUGUCAAACAAAUGUCAAAUUUAUUGAUAGAAAUAAACUUGGCACUAUUGGCCGGAUAUAAAAAAUUCGUUAUCACUUAUAUAUUAGAAAAAAACAGGCAAAACUUUGAAUUAUAUGUAAUUACAAACAAUCUGACAUUUCAAUUAUAUUACAUUUUUACAAGGGAAGCAGUUCACUUGUUACAGAAUAUACAUAAUGGAAUAACACAGGGAAUUUGUAGCCUUAUUUGUUUUUUAGAUAGCUUUUUAUACAAUUACAUAUGUAUAUAAAAACGCAUAUAUCGUAAUUUAUUUAUAAAUAGAAACCUGAGAAAGAACUAGAUAUCUUGAUUGGAAUGAGCAAUAGAAAG